CUGUCUUCCUCCAAACCUGCCUUGUCCUACCCACUCCUGAACAUGCCUACCCCCUCCAGGCAGCUCUGGGAGGCUGGGGUGAUCACACCAGAGUUCCCACCAGCCUCAGCUCACGGAGCAGAGUGCCUCGUUCUUACAGUGCCCUGCUGAGGCUGCCCAGACACCCAGACCAGCUCAGGCAGAAGCUUUGGCAGUCUAGCCUCACAGUCCCAGCCUCUCAACGGCUGCCCACUGUCGGAAACCAGGCAGAACUUGGUGAUGCAACAAAGAGGCGCCUGUAUCCUUGACCCCCAGAUCCUCUGUUGCCUCAUCAGGGGUGGGGGUCCCCUGGGGGGUGGCCAGCUGCACUGUGCCUUCCCCCCACCCCACCAGCAGUCCCUUCCAGCAACUCAGCCACCAGCACUUCAUCAGGGUCAGAAAGAUCCGCCCCUGAAAGGGAGAGAAGGGAAGACACCCUACCCACCCCCCCUGGAACUCACAUCCCUGUGUGGAGGAUCACACGAACAAACGAACAGAGACAUUCAUUUUGAAAAUUCUGAAGCCUCACAAGGAAGGCUGACCUGCGGAGGAAGUGGCUGCAGUUUGACAGGCUGGGUGGGCGUCCGUCCGUCCGUCCAUCCAUCCGCUCCCCAGCAAGCUCCCUCAAAGAAGCCCAACAGGGGCAGAGGCACAGACAUUCCAAAAGACAGCAGCCGCAGGAAGCUUGAGCUGCCCUGGGUGGUUGUCCAACAAGUGCCAUGAACCCUGAGGACAGUCGACAGAACCACGGCACUGAGCCUGGCCCCAGUGGGAGCCUUGACAGGCCCAAGUGAGGAAACAGUGCCCUGGCCCAACGGAGUGCCCGCCUGUUCAUGCCCAGCGUCCAGGGCCUGUUGUUAAGUUUCUAGGAAUUUUUGUGACUCCGUUGUUGAGUACACCUGCUAUUAAAGGUCAAAUGGUACCAACUAGAAA